GCCGGCGUAGCUCAGUGGCAGAGCAGCUGUUUCGUAAACAGCAGGCCGAGGGUUCGAGUCCCCCCGCCGGCUCCA
rnacentral:tRNA from 1 species